rnacentral:rRNA from 1 species
AGUGAACGCUGGCGGCAGGCCUAACACAUGCAAGUCGAACGACCGCACCGUAAUUACUUGCUCAUACGUGUGUCAAGUGGCGGAAGGGUCCUUAAUGCAUCGGAAUCUACUUUUUCAUGGGUGCUAACAUCGGGAAUCUUCUGCUGAUGCAGCAUUCGACCUACUGAGGAAAGCAGGGGAUCUUCGGACCUUGUGGUGUUGAAUGAGCCGAUGUCGGAUUAGCUCGUUGGCGGGGUAAAGGCCCACCACGGCGACCAUCCGUAGCUGGUCUGAGCGGAUGAUCAGGCACAUUGUAACUGAGACAGAGCCCAGACACCGACGGGAAGCAGCAGUGGGGAAUAUUGGACGAUGGGGGAAAGCCGGAUCCAGCCAUACCGGGUAAGUGAAGAAGGCGUUCUGGUGGGAGAAUGCUUAUGUUGGGAGAAAAGAACAGCACUUUAAUAGCCCGCGAUUCUGACGGUACCCAAAGAAUAAGCACCGGCUAACUUCGUG